rnacentral:rRNA from 1 species
UGGGGAAUAUUGGACAAUGGGGGCAACCCUGAUCCAGCAAUGCCGCGUGUGUGAAGAAGGCCUUCGGGUUGUAAAGCACUUUUAUCCGGAACGAAACGCGCAGGGUGAAUAGCCUUGUGAACUGACGGUACCGGAGGAAUAAGCACCGGCUAACUUCGUGCCAGCAGCCGCGGUAAUACGAAGGGUGCAAGCGUUACUCGGAAUUACUGGGCGUAAAGCGUGCGUAGGUGGUUUGUUAAGUCUGUUGUGAAAGCCCCGGGCUCAACCUGGGAAUGGCAAUGGAUACUGGCAAGCUAGAGUGCGGUAGAGGGUAGUGGAAUUCCCGGUGUAGCGGUGAAAUGCGUAGAGAUCGGGAGGAACACCAGUGGCGAAGGCGGCUACCUGGACCAGCACUGACACUGAGGCACGAAAGCGUGGGGAGCAAACA